AUCCUCUUGGAAGGAGGAUGGGUGCUGUUCUCUGUCCAAGGAUCCUUCUAUGUAAGGCUGAAGGCUGCUUGAGAGCCAGGCUCCUCAUUCCCACGUGUAGCUCCAGUGCUCACGGAGGGGCAAGGAGGACUCCUUACUACUUUGCUAAAAGAGUCUUAACGCCUGUCUUAGUGCCGUUGUUGGCUUUGAAGAAGUCAGCUACCAUGUGCUGGGCUGCCUGUGAUGGGAGACCUCCUAGUCAAGGAACAGAACUGAAGGUGGCCUGCCUGUCAGCCAACAAGAAGCCUGACCUGUCCAUCCUGCCACUGGAGGAACUGAAUUCUGCCCAAACCACAAGCCCUAUGGAAGCAGAUCUCUCCCUAGCCAAGCACAGAGGAGACCCCAGCCCUGGAAAAUGCCUCCAUCUGUUCCUGACCCACAGAACCCAGGUCACCGGCAUGUGGAUUAAGUCUCUGAGCUUGUGGUAGUUUGCUGUAGAAGUGCAUUCGAUUCCUGACCAGCAGCCUAAUGGGGAAAACACUGCAACCAAAAGAAAACUGCGGAGGAAAUUGGCUUACAGACUACAGUCCAUCCUCAAGGGAAGCCCAAGGUAGGAACUCAAGGCUGGAGCUUGAAGCAGAAACCAGUGGAGAACACUGCUUGGCCCACUACAUUGCUACCUUUCAAGUGCAGCCCAGGCUCACCUGCCUGCCUGGGGAUGGCACCAACCAAAAUGGGCUGGGUUCUCUUAUAUCAACUAACGAUCAUGAAGAUACCCACAUGACAACCAGAUGAAGGUGAUUCUCAAUUCCCAGAGGAUUAGAGUUCGAGUCCCAGCACCACGUCAGGGUGGCUCAUAACCACCUAUAACUCCAGCUCCAGUGGCCUCCAACAUCCUUGGCUUUUCUCAGCAUCUGCAUUCAAGUGUCCAGGCAGUACAGGCUAUCGUACAAUACCCGGGAAUGAAGGAUUUGGCACAGGAGUUGCCCUCCAUGAGAUAGGCGUCUGUCUGGCCCCUCCUCCUGAAGGAGCUGUGAAUAGUUAGUUACUCCUUCCUGUAGGAGAGAGGAAGAGAAUUCAUGUGAUCCCAGAUGCACAGCAGGUCCCAUCUGGCCCCACACUCCUGUAUCUUCUACAUUAUCGGUCCUUGGAGAUCACCGCCUUCCUUCUCAUCCAUCCACUUACAAGAACGAGGUGAGAAGUGUCUUCUCCAAGGCCGCACAGCAUGACCCAAAGAUUUCCCAGGCCUUCAGGCUCGGCUGGCCCUCAGUAGACCCAGAGGCAGGAGGAGCACAGCCCCUCGAAGCUGAUCCUUUUAUCACAUGGCUCAAGUCCUGGAAUCCAGGCUGAGACCUGCAGCUCUCAACAUGGCAAGCAAUAGCAUCUCCCUUCCUGGGGAGGGGAAGGCAGCUGUGGCGGUUGUGGCGGGCGGAGAGAAAUUUCCUCUUUCUGUAGAUUGGAUCAGUCACUCUCAGAAUUGAUGGCAACGGCUUCAUCACGAAGAUCUAAUGCUUUAAUUAUGUUGUGACAUGACCUGACAUGGGGGUGGCAUUUGAUGGAUUCUCUGGUGUCAUCAGCAUGGCCCUGACAUAGGAAAGUGGCAGGAGGCAGAGGGAGGAGGGAGAAGAAGGGCUCUUGGAGGGAAAUGGGUCUUCCCAGGGACCCCUCCUUCUUUUCCAGCUCUCUGUCUUCCCAGGGAAGUUCAUGCAGUAUGGAAGAGGGGUCCAGGAGAGGAGGGGCAGCUGCUACGGCAGAAAGUAAAUGUGCACUUCCACGAUGACUGUGCAUAUGUGCACAAAUGUGUACAAGAACCUGGAUAUAUGGAAGUGUGUCCAAGCAGGUGACAAGAUUCAGACCCAGAGAUGACAGCGAGAACUGCAUGGCUGUCUGCCUUCAAGGAGGGAAAGGGAGGUAGGUAAGGGUAUGACGGAGCACCUAGCUGGUCAGCAUGUCCUGGGGCUGUCUAGCAGAUGCAGUCACACAGUCUAGAGGACAAAGCUGAAACCAACACAGAAUGUCCAGGGAGGCAGGCUUUACUUAGCAGAGCAAAGGGUGCCCUGCCAAAGCAUGAGGAACUCUGAGAGGCCAUAAGCAUUCUGUCCCAAGAGAGGAUGCUGGCAUUUCUGUAGAGAACUUUCUUCUUUCUGGUUCCCUGACCAGUUAUAUCAGAAGCUAGGACCCGAACUAUCCAUGGUGAGUAGGUUGUUCUCCCCUUCUCUCUCCGUCACUACAUAGUUGCCCGCUCAGAGUCCUGGGGUGCCCUGGACGUGGCAGGAAAGAGAAGAAAUCUGCUUCCAUUAGCCUAAGCUCUUCGCCUUGAUUCUGCACGCACAUCCCCUCCUCUCCUUGCUCUCCCCAUUCUGUCCUCUUCCUUUCAGAUUAAGCUCUUCCUUGCAGGCCUGUAGGCUAUAGAGGGCAGGACUCCUGGGCUAGCUGAGUAACUGCAGGCUUGAUGGGGGAGGAAGCAGAGAUACCUGUUGGCACCCACCCACACAUCCUCAGGCCAGGAGCUGGGUCAGUCCUUUCUCAGACUGUAUCUUAAGUAUCCCCAUGACCACCUGUAACCAGGCUGUUAUCUCCAUUUUGCAGCCGAAGACAGUGAGGCUCAGUGACGCAAAGCUUCAAGCCCAAGGCUACAUGUCAGGAAAGGAGGGAAUUAGAUUUGACUUAGCAAAGGUUUGUGCGGACGGAAGCUCCAGACCCAGACAGGGAUGCCAGACACACCGUGUACCCAGAGCCAUCUCUGAUUGUGUCCACCCUCGUUUUGCCAGUGGGGCUUGUCUCUGCAGCUCUUGGUAGAGGAAGAGUACCAGAAAAGAUAUUCAGAGAGAGGGGUCUGGCCUGCUGCCUCCAUCCUUAAUGAAAGUUAUAUGGGGUUUAGGUCUAAUAAAUAAGUGGCUCGGGGAAUGGAGAGAAAGCUUAGGUAUUAAGAGCACUUACUACUCUUUACAGGACCUGGGUUCAGCUCCUAGCACCCAAAGUCAGGUGGUUCACAACUGCCUAUAGCUAUAGCUUCAGUUCCAGAGGAUCCAAUGCUUUCUGGUUUCUGCAGCCACCUGCAUGUAGGUGGUGCACAUAAAUUCACAAAGGCACAAAGACAUACACAUUUUUAAAAAAAUAAAUAAAUAUGUAUCUGGAGAGUCUCUGAAGCUCUAUCCGAAGUGAUCCCUAUUCCACUCCACUCACCGCACUGCAUAGAAGGGGAAAUCACGGUCCACAGAGAAUAGAUGGGUCCAUGUUAGUAUUACAUCUCUGGACUCUGAACUCCUGCAUCAAGGCACUGCUAUGGCUGUGCCCAGGGGCUGGCACUGGUAGUUACAGUGAUAAAAGGCUUCUGGAGCCUUGAGAUUCCUCUUGAAAGCUGAGUUAAGGGAGGGCCAGCCAGAAGAGGCUCUGAAAGCCUGGAGGGGAUUUUUCACAGCCUGAAGAAAUCACCACAGUAUAUUCUUAGUCCUAAACCCUUGUAGCCCCAGCCUCAGCAAAGGAUACAGAAGGCAGAUUGGCCAGACUUGCAGUAGUUCUUGGCCUGGGCUAUGUCUCAGUGGUAUCAAGGCAGGUGAGGGUAGGCCUGCCUGAGCUUCUCUAAAGGUUGUAUGUUCCAAUAAGGAACCAGAACAAAAUGGGAGAAUUAGAAAAAAUCUCAGGGGUAUGAUGCAACUGUGAUGAGUAGCUGGCCACACACAGAAGCUGGUGCGAAUGUAAGUGGCUGGGCACCCCUUAUCUUGGUUGGGGUGGUCAGGCUUCCAGUUCUCUCAACAGUGAGGACAUGAGAGUCUGCACAGUUGAGGGAUGUAUAACAAGAGCUGGCACAAAGAGAGGCAUCUGUUUCCCAAGCAGAGUCCGUGUCUAGAUGCAACCAAGGACAAAUAUGACUGUGGCGUACUCCUCUGGGCAGUUACCACCCAGGGCUCUGUUGUGAUUAACUAUAACUAAUGUAACCAUGUCUGGACAAACCUGGCUCAGUUUGUAUGACCAUGGGUAUAGAUGGUCUGACAUGGGCUUUAGAGUUAGGUUGUUAAUGACUUUCGUGGCAGGUAUGGCCAUGGUCCUAAGCAUAACUCCUUGUCCCAAUGUGGUACAUUUGCGUUGAAUUGCGUGGUCCCUUUUAAAUCGAUCGCUGGGACUCUGUAACAGGUUCCCCUAUCACAAGGGGGCGCUGUGCAUCUUCCUAAACCAUUACCUUCAGCUGGUGUCCCAUGGGUGGGCCAAGUAUGCUUCCAUCUGGCACCAAGACCCCCUAGUCCAGGCCCAGAUGCUUCUACUGCUAGGUUCUUGAGAAGUUCCAGGUUUCUUUUCAGAUUUUUCCUUUUCUGGAAGAACACAAAUGAUGAAGUUGACAUCCUACCUAGUAAGAAAGUCCCAUAGAAGGGGUCCAGAGAGACUCAACUGUCAAGUGGCCUCCUCUGACACAUGGAGAAAAUGAAGAUCAGAUGGAAAAUAACCUGUGCAGAUCCAAGCCCAGGAUCAAGCAGAUUGCUCCAGAUAGACGCAGUUCUCAGGUUCAAGUUCAAGUUCAAGACCCCGCAGGUCUUGAAGGGCCACCCAUUUGACCAUGGGUAUCAGUAGCACAUGGGUUUUGGGUCCUGGCUCCUUAUCCAAUGUGUGAUUCUGAGUUGCUUCCAUCCUCAUCUGGGCUUUUUCCCCCCAUGAGGCUGUGUGUGCUCGACAGCUGACUUAGUGCUGCUGGGUAUCAAGCAGAGUCCAUCGAGGAGAAGUGGUAAACUUGAGGUCAAUGGUAAGGUGAGUGUGCUCCACUCCGGUCACUGCCCCACCCCCACCCAGCCUGUAGGUGCCAACACUUUACUGUUACAUCUUGCAGUUCUUCCUGGACAGGUUUUCCAUUUUCCAAAGUGACCUGUCUACCAUACCCACGUGAGGCAGGCCUCAUGCCAGAGACUGUCCAUCCCAAGGAGGAGCCCACUUCAAGGUGUUCUCCACAGAGCUCUAGCACUUCAGGUCUGUGUAAGCAGGGACCUCAUUGAUCUUACUCACUGCUGUUGGGCUGGAUCUCAGGGCACAUAAUCUAUGUGUGAAGCUGGGCUGGUGAGAUGGCUCAGUGGGUAAGAGCACCC